rnacentral:misc_RNA from 1 species
GCAGAAUUGAUGAAGUUUUCUGGCCAAGCGAGAAAACUUUUGUUCUGAUCAGUGAUCACAAGUCUAACUACACCUGCAAAUAUUUGACCUUCAACGUAUGAUCAUCAACUUUUUCCAGUGGUGAACAUUGCACGAUGACUGAUUGAACUUGGGCAGCCUCCUUAUUUUAACUAUACCAACUUAAAAGUUCAUUUCCAUGGGAUAUUAGUUGUUGAAGUUGCAAUGUAAGGAAUUAAAGAAGAUUAUGAACACUAUUGGGAAUGAUCAUCUAAGCUUUGGUAGUGCAGUAAUGUAUAUAAAGUGAAUAUUUAGUUGUGAAUUAUGAUGACGGUAUUAGCAAUGGCUGGCUUUUCAGACCAAGACAAA